rnacentral:rRNA from 1 species
CCAUUUGACCGUACUACCUUGUCCAUGCCCAAUAUUGUUUGAUAUUGGAGGCUAAGCAGGGAUCGGCUUGGUUAGUAAUGGGAUGGGAGAUGGCUGGAAAUAACAAGCACCACAAUAGG